rnacentral:lncRNA from 1 species
GCUCGUCGUCCUACAUCAGUUCUCCGCCGAAAAAAACUAGACAUCGUCGAGUUAUGAACAUCAACACAAGAACAAUCACAUCAGAUCACCAAGUCAUUGCAAGCUUCAAAUUUGGCAUGUCAAGAGCACAAAUAAGAGUGAAUUUGAUAUUUGCCUAAUCGAAUAGAUAUUAGCACGAGCAUCAUGUUAGGCAUGACGAUCCCAUAGCCAUUUACGCCUUAAGAUAAUGUGAAACCUUAAGGGGUAGAACAUCACACAUAACGAUAUCCUUAAGCUUUCCAACGGAAAAUAUAACCAAACACCUCUGCUAACCCGCAACCUUGUAUUGGUAAUCUAUGCAACAUCCUACGGCUCCGGGUGAGGCUCAACUUUUAACCCAAAUUUCUUAACUGCUCCCCCAGAGAUAACAUCCGUAUAACUCCCAGUAUCAAUCACAAGAGAGCACACAUGUCCUGCACAUGACUUGUCUGAAAAAUUCGCCCACGAUGAAUUUUAGGAUCAUCCUUAUGUUUCUGAGCAACAAGUAAAGGUCAAAGAACACCUAAACAUCCUUCCAAAUGAGCAUCAACUUCUAACUCUUGCUCAUCGAGCUCAUAUUCGACGUCUAACGGUUUGUAAACCUCUUCGUUCAAGUCAUUUUUCUCGCACUAUUUGUCAACAAUAGCUAGUUGCCUAGAGGGAGAAGAGGCAACAAUCAUCUUCGGGGAAGUACACUCAAAAGACAUGACCAAAACCACAACAGUUAUAGCAUGUAGACGUAUGGUUGUUGUUAGCAUUAAAAGAACAUGUGGUUAGGGGUGCUCAUCGGUAAAAAACCAAACUGGGAUCCGAAAUUACCGGAAAAACAAGAACCGAAACUGGUACCGGAUUACUGGUUUUGAUACCGAUUUUUUCGAUUCAAUUUUCG